rnacentral:rRNA from 1 species
UACGUAGGGGCCUAGCGUUGUCCGGAUUUAUUGGGCGUAAAGAGCUCGUAGGCGGUUCGGUAAGUCAGGUGUGAAAUCUCCACGCUCAACGUGGAGGCGCCACCUGAAACUGCCGUGACUCGAGUCCGGUAGGGGAGUGUGGAAUUCCUGGUGUAGCGGUGAAAUGCGCAGAUAUCAGGAGGAACACCGGUGGCGAAGGCGGUUCUCUGGGCAUUACCUGACGCUGAGGAGCGAAAGUGUGGGGAGCGAACAGG